UCUUAUUUUCCUCAAAUCCCGCCCUCCCGAAUAACCCAAAGCUUUAUUUCCCGCCUUCAAAUCGAAUCGGUUUCUCACCCAAAACCCUAAUUUGCGAGAAACCCCCUAUUUCCUUGAUUCUCCACCUGCUUCUCCGUUAGGGUUUCAAAGUAUGACGGAACUGAACGCGAAGCACCACCCUACUCUGACUCAAGCUCUGCUCUCUCGCGGCCCGACCAGUUCCACCGCACGUUCUCGGAACUCACCGGAGAAAACUCAGGUGUUCGAAGGAUGAUUAUCUUCUGAGGAUAAACAAGGGUUCAGUUCGAGUUGCGGGGAUGCAGGAAUCAAUAUGAAGGUCAAGUUUAUUAUGGAGUUGUCAAUAAUGUCUCUGAUGAACGACUUAUUCGGUUGCUCAGAUUGCUUUCUAUAAGGCUAUUAUUGUAACUCCGAAAUCUUUUUACAGGUUUUGAAAACUUAUCAAAUUUGCCUGUGUUUAUCUUGCUUAUCCUACACUAAGACUUUGAUUCUUUAAGAUUAUCUUUUAGUGUAUCAGAUAUAGCCUGAGUGUGAGUUUCAGAAAACUUAGGGUUCCUUGUCAGUGGUUAACUUUUACGAAUGACUCAACAAUUUAGUUAACCAGUCGGUGAGAAUAAAUGACUAAACAUUAUAAUGGGUGCUUGUGAUUAAUUUGAUGGGGUUGCAUAAGAUUGCAUGGGUGAUCUUGUAUAUUGGCAGCAUAAUAUGGUUAUCAACGGGUAAGAUGUUGAGACAAGAGAGUUUGAAACACUUUGAAUAGCAGUAGUCUUGGAGUAGGUGGAUGGUAUUUUAUGGAUCCAGCUCCUCUAAAGUGAGCAAAUCAUGAAUUUCGUAAAGUUCAUAAAAUCUCCAACCUCGAUGUAAUCUAAUGGUUAGAAAGAUAUCUACAUCAGUUAACAUUAAUAUCAAAUUCUUUUUUCACAUUUUCUUUUCAAAACAAAUUAUGUUUCACAUUAACGUAAAAAUUCUAUGUUUUUUCUUUUAGAAAAUAAACUGCAGUCAUUGAUUUUGGCCUAUUUUCACGAACUGGAUCCAACCCUAGAAAAGAGAGUGAAUGAAUGUUGAACCUACUUUCUUAUCACUCUCAUUACGAUUUGUGCUUUGCAUCCCUCCUUCUUUUUUUUUUUAUCGAUGAUGGGUUUCUAAUUGCCAUGUAUAAUUGUUGGUUUUGGGGAAAAAUUCGAUCCCUAAUUUAUAUUUUUGUCUGUCAUCUGUUGGCUGCAUGCAAGAGUCUUAAUGUGUGGAGUAUACUGGUUUGAGAAGACAAUUGCAAUUGUUAUUUAGUUUUUAUCCACCCAUGACCAUGGAUCUCCCUAGUUUUUCUGUUUUCAGAAAUCCAUUGAUGCAUAGAUACAGAAACGCAGGGAGCAAAAGAUGAAGAUUGAAUUGGCCAAAAAAUAAAAAUUAAUUAAAUAAGAUUAACGUAAAAAACAAAAUUUCUUAAAAAAAAAAGUCAAAAAAAGAAUUCUAAGUGACGUGGAUAUCUUUCUAGCCAUUAGAUUACAUUGAGGUUGGAGAUUUUAUGAACUUUACGAAAUUCAUGAUUUGCUCACUUUAGAGGAGCCGGAUCCGUAUUUUAUUACCAUAGAUACUACAAGAAAUUGAGCUUAGGAAAUAGUUAAAUGUGUUGGUGUAUUGAGAGUAAACUACUUUUGGUGUUUAAUAUUUUGGGACUGAUGGCACUUGUUUGGAGAAUUGUCAAAGUGGAAAAAGUGUGUGUGAAGGGGAGGGGUUGAGAAUAUAUGCUGUGCUAGUGGUGAUGAUCAUGUGCAUGUUUUAGAGUCAAGGAGGAAAAUGCUGACAUGUGAUUUCUCCAUUGGAAAUGUGAAGUAUGGUCCUCCUUGAGGUUUUGAAACGCCUCUUUUUGUUUGCCACUACUGGCUUAGUGCAGCAUUGUGAUAGAUCAGAGGGAAUAGUUGCUUGACAAGCUAGCAAGAGCCAAGGGGAGUAGGCAGGGUAACAGUUGCAUUAUUUAUUGGAAAUCUUAGAGGUGGAGGGUCAUGUAUUGGCUGAAACUUCAACCUCAAUUCUUUUCUUAUGGAGUUUGAGGAAGGGGGUGUGGCUCCUUUCUCCAACCUGGGUUCAGGUAUUGGUUUUGUCUGAAGUCACCUCUUUUCUACAGCAGGUUGACCAAAAUCUGAAAUUAUAAUCUUAAUGUUAGUUCAUUUUUCCUCAGGUGAUGUGUUAUGAAAAGUUAGAUAGGAAAAGUAUUGUUAUCUUCUGCCUUACAUUUUCUAUUUUUGGGUGAUUUUUAGAUUUAGCUUUGUCAAGAUUGCACCUAUUUAAAAUUUUGUAGUCCCCCAGUCUCUUUCUCUCUCUAUAAGUUGAAUGGACAAGUCCAAUGACGAGAAUCAGUAGCUGGAUUUGGUAAUAUAUUAUUUGAAUAUAUUUGCUAAUGCUGUGUGACACAGGACUAAUUUGAUGAGUACUUGGACAAUUAUGGACUGUUUGAAAUAUUAGAGUGAUUGGGAUUUCAUAAUUGAAAAUUGAUGUAUAGACUACUGAGUUACCUGAGAGGAAAAUUAUCAAAAUGUUAGUCUUUUUUAUAAAAUCUGAUUCUGCUAGUCCAUAAAUCGAUAUGUGACCCCUGAGUUCUAGUGACUUGGUUCUAUUGGCAUUUGACUCAUCUCAGUCUGCAAGUUGCAUGUGAGGGUGCAGAAAUUAGUCCUGAAAUCUUACUCUUGUGUUUUAUAACCUGUUUCAGGUUUGACCAUGAUAUUAAUAGCAUAUGAAUCUACUAGAAUUUCCUAUGAAAAUUUGUUUCCUAUUAGCUGAUGCUAGGACAAAGGCUCUUUUGGCUUAUCAAUUAUCAUCUUAGGAGCGUCGUUGACCACUUUGUUAUGCUAAACUUAUCUUUGAUCCCUUCUAUGAUUUAUUUCCUUUACCUGACCCAAUAUUGGUGAGACUCAGGCUCUUUUGGGUCCUACUUUCUUUUGUGUCCAUACACUUGCUGCUUGUUUGUGUUAUUAUUGAGUCGUCCAUUGAUGCAUUUAAUAUGCCUACCUAUAGACUCCCCUUUGAUUCGUUCUUUUUAAUUUUCUUAUACUUUCCAUUUCGUUUGUUUGAUUAUAAGUAUUUUCCCAAGCCGAUCCACUUUAUUUGUCAGUUUGUGUGUCUCCUAUAGAGAAAUCUUUAUCCUCCGAAAGGUCGUGUAUGAUACUUUGGACAAAUGGUGAAUUAGUUGAACUUAUAAAGAUUCUUCACCUGUUUUUCUGAAGCAGGAUAUAUACCUAUUCCUCCAACUCAUGCUUUACAAAGAAGCCUUGAAGCCUAAAGUUAAACAAAAAGGAUACCAGUGAUUAUAACGUCUGUGCACUUCUCUCAUAGACUUGCUGUUGGUUGGAAUUGGGCGCUUCUGCUAUAAUCACUCCCUCCAAACACGAAGUUAUCUUAGUAUAGUGUCUUCAGUUUUAUCUUUGUAUGUGUGGGGUGUGUUAUCAUAUGCAAUUGUGCAUUGUGUGCACGCUGGAGCAUAAUCCUCGAUUCCUCGUCUACAGAUGUGUAUGCAAAGAACAUUACAAGUUUACGUGUAGCGCUUAAUGAGCUUUUUAUUUUUUUAUUUGUUUUAUUUUUUAAAAUUGUAUGUGGCUUAAUGUUUCUGUUGUGUUUUAUUUUGAUAUUAUUUAAUUCAUUUAUAUUUUCUGGUCCAUUCUUUUGAUAUUAUCAGAUAGAAGCUAUAGUGCAAGAAGCUGCUCAAGGAACCAUAUCUAGCAGUGAUGCUCUUAAUCUACGAUGAGAGAAUCAGGUUUGCAUUGGUACAUCAUCACAAUCACAUGGAGGUCCAGUUCCUAUCCCUACUGCAUUGAAGAACUUUUCAAUGUCCCAGAAGGAAAAAACUCUUGACGAAUUUGUACGGGAUAAAUGGCUUUCCUUCACUGCUGAGGAUCAUGUUGGACUUGGUGUCAGAUCUUUCCUUGAUCUGCUAAUUUGGUUCCGCAAUAAUGAUGUUCCUUCAUGCGAAGUGUGUAACGAAGCUGGAGUGAAGUGUUAUGCCAGAAAGAGGGUUGUAUGUUUCGAAUUCAUCAGUACUGCCUUGGAAAACUGUGUGCUAAGAAAAAGGGUGAAAGAGUUUGUCCAAGUUGUGGUACUCAAUGGCAAUAUACAGGACCAAAAGCAGAAGCAGUAGAAGAUGAUGAGCCAAAUUGCGCCACUCAGAGCCAACCACCUGUGGAAUCCAAGAGAAAGAAGCUGAGAACAAGCCGAAUUGGUGAUGGAUAUAUAAUUGAAUCUAGUUCCUCUCAGGCUUCCUUACCUGAUCGUAAUCUGAGAAGAUCCACUCGAAAUUCCACCCGCCUCUAAUAACUUGAUUUCAUAUGCCCUCUUGCAAGUACCCU